rnacentral:rRNA from 1 species
UACAGAGGUCUCAAGCGUUGUUCGGAAUUACUGGGCGUAAAGCGUGCGCAGGCGGCCAUUCAAGUCAGGGGUGAAAUCCUGGGGCUUAACCCCAGAAUUGCCUUUGAAACUGUAUGGCUAGAGACUCGGAGGGGUUAGGGGAAUUCCUAAUGUAGCGGUGAAAUGCGUAGAUAUCGGGAGGAACAUCUGUGGCGAAGGCGACACCCUGGACCAGCACUGACACUGAGGCACGAAAGCGUGGGGAGCAAACAGG